GGCCAUAGUAACUCUUCUUGAGAUCUUCGCAGCAGCCAUUAGCUUUGUGGUUGUUCGCUUUUUGUUGAAUAAAAAUAGCCAACCCAUAAAUUGGCCAGUCUUCGGUAUGCUGCCGGAUACUCUCUUCCACUUUCACCGAGCUCACGAUAGGUUCACAGAAGUUAUUGAGCGAAGUGGGCAUACCUUUUUCUACCAAGGUCCCUGGUUUUCCAACGUCAAAUUGUUAGCCACAG
rnacentral:misc_RNA from 1 species